ACGAACGCUGGCGGCGUGCUUAACACAUGCAAGUCGAACGGAAAGGCCCUGCUUUUGUGGGGUGCUCGAGUGGCGAACGGGUGAGUAACACGUGAGUAACCUGCCCUUGACUUUGGGAUAACUUCAGGAAACUGGGGCUAAUACCGGCUAGGAGCUCCUGCUGCAUGGUGGGGGUUGGAAAGUUUCGGCGGUUGGGGAUGGACUCGCGGCUUAUCAGCUUGUUGGUGGGGUAGUGGCUUACCAAGGCUUUGACGGGUAGCCGGGCUGAGAGGGUGACCGGCCACAUUGGGACGGAGAUACGGCCCAGACUCCUACGGGAGGCAGCAGUGGGGAAUAUUGCACAAUGGGCGGAAGCCUGAUGCAGCAACGCCGCGUGCGGGAUGACGGCCUUCGGGUUGUAAACCGCUUUCGCCUGUGACGAAGCGUGAGUGACGGUAAUGGGUAAAGAAGCACCGGCUAACUACGUG
rnacentral:rRNA from 1 species